rnacentral:rRNA from 1 species
GAUGAACGCUGGCGGCGUGCCUAAUACAUGCAAGUCGAGCGAACGGACGAGAAGCUUGCUUCUCUGAUGUUAGCGGCGGACGGGUGAGUAACACGUGGAUAACCUACCUAUAAGACUGGGAUAACUUCGGGAAACCGGAGCUAAUACCGGAUAAUAUUUUGAACCGCAUGAUUCAAAAGUGAAAGACGGUCUUGCUGUCACUUAUAGAUGGAUCCGCGCUGCAUUAGCUAGUUGGUAAGGUAACGGCUUACCAAGGCAACGAUGCAUAGCCGACCUGAGAGGGUGAUCGGCCACACUGGAACUGAGACACGGUCCAGACUCCUACGGGAGGCAGCAGUAGGGAAUCUUCCGCAAUGGGCGAAAGCCUGACGGAGCAACGCCGCGUGAGUGAUGAAGGUCUUCGGAUCGUAAAACUCUGUUAUUAGGGAAGAACAUAUGUGUAAGUAACUGUGCACAUCUUGACGGUACCUAAUCAGAAAGCCACGGCUAACUACGU